GUCUAUGGCUAUGCCAUCCUGAACAAAUCCGAUUUCGUCUGAUCUUGGAAGCUAAGCAGGGUCGGGCCUGGUUAGUACUUGGAUGAGAGACCACCUAGGAAGACCAGGUGCUGUAGGCG
rnacentral:rRNA from 1 species